rnacentral:rRNA from 1 species
AGUGAACGCUGGCGGUAGGCCUAACACAUGCGAGUCGAACGGCAGCACAGAAAGAGCUUGCUCUUACGGGUGGCGAGUGGCGGACGGGUGAGGAAUACAUCGGAAUCUACUUUUUCGUGGGGGAUAACGUAGGGAAACUUACGCUAAUACCGCAUACGACCUACGGGUGAAAGCAGGGGAUCUUCGGACCUUGCGCGAUUGAAUGAGCCGAUGUCGGAUUAGCUAGUUGGCGGGGUAAAGGCCCACCAAGGCGACGAUCCGUAGCUGGUCUGAGAGGAUGAUCAGCCACACUGGAACUGAGACACGGUCCAGACUCCUACGGGAGGCAGCAGUGGGGAAUAUUGGACAAUGGGCGCAAGCCUGAUCCAGCCAUACCGCGUGGGUGAAGAAGGCCUUCGGGUUGUAAAGCCCUUUUGUUGGGAAAGAAAAGCAGCAGGUUAAUACCCCGCUGUUCUGACGGUACCCAAAGAAUAAGCACCGGCUAACUUCGUG